CCUACGGGAGGCAGCAGUGAGGAAUAUUGGUCAAUGGUCGGAAGUCUGAACCAGCCAAGCCGCGUGCAGGAAGACGGUUCUGUGUAUUGUAAACUUCUUUUGUCCAGGGGUAAACCUGGAUACGUGUAUCCGGCUGAAAGUACUUUACGAAUAAGGAUCGGCUAACUCCGUGCCAGCAGCCGCGGUAAUACGGAGGAUCCAAGCGUUAUCCGGAUUUAUUUGGUUUAAAGGGUGCGUAGGCGGAUUGAUAAGUUAGCGGUCAAAGUGCCGAGCUUAACGCGGGAACUGCCGGGAAUCAUGGUAGUCUAGAGAGGGGGUGAGGUAUGCGGAAUGCGUGGUGUAGAGGUGAAAUGCUUAGAGAU
rnacentral:rRNA from 1 species